rnacentral:tRNA from 1 species
GGAGAGGUGACCGAGCUGGCUGAAGGUGCACGCCUGGAAAGCGUGUGUACGUCAAAAGCGUACCGGGGGUUCGAAUCCCCCCCUCUCCGCCA